rnacentral:misc_RNA from 1 species
GAAGAUAGAACAGAAGAAGAAGAAUAGAGGGGAAAACUUGGAAUUGAGGAGACUCCCAUUUAUCUGCUUAUAACUGGGACUUCAGUAAGAAAGUUUGGAAGCAAUCGCACCUCAGAACCAAGCUCUGAUACCAAUUUGUUAUGAUCUCUCGCCCAUGAUCUAGUAAUGGGCCUAUUAAUAUUGAAAUUUGAUUCAAAAGCUGAAACCUUUGCUUUACCUCGAUUCUUUCCU